rnacentral:lncRNA from 10 species
AAUACUUCCUAGGUGAUUCUGACGCAGGCGCUCCACGGAAACCCUCCGAGAAUUCUGGGGGCCGUGGGGCCGCCCAGCUCAGUCCGGAGCUCCGGAACUCGGGGAAGAGCGUCCGGGAGCCGGGUCUGGGUUCCGCACUCCGUCCGCCCCGAUGGCAGAGAGUGAGAUACGGACGCCCCGGGACGAGGGGCUCAGGACCCGGCUACGGACACCUGCCUCCAUCUCCCUCCAGGUGAUCCCCUACCGCUUAUUUUGUUGACGUAAAGCUUUGACAUGAAGAGGGGCAGCUUGCUAGUUAUUAAUAUACUAAAAGGAACUAAAUCCCCUGAGGGCAGAUUUGAAUUUAUUUAACCACUGUUUUCCACACAGUGCCCUGCAGGAUAUUGAUAUAGUUGCUGGAUGUGCGUGAUGAAUGAAUGAGUGAAUGAAUGAAUAAAUGUUGUGCAUGCACUUAAUAAUUUUCUGCGAUAUGUUUCCAUUCUCAUCUGCUUAUUUGCGUAUACCUUAGAGCACUAAACUUACACAGCUGGAUACUUAAAGUCUUUAGGAAGACUUGGAAACAUGGUUUUUUUUGUUUGUUUUUUGUGAGACCACGUUUCUACAGCAGGCUUUGUUACACAUAGUAUCAUUUGUGCUUCAGCCAAACAAUGAAGUUGGUAGAAUUACAAAAUGUUUUCAAUGUUUCCAAGUUAUAAACUUGAUUCCUAGAUAUUGGUCUUAGAGGUCACACAGAGACAGUUCUU